GAUGAACGCUAGCUACAGGCUUAACACAUGCAAGUCGAGGGGCAGCAGGGAUUUAGCUUGCUAAAUCCGCUGGCGACCGGCGCACGGGUGCGUAACGCGUAUCCAACUUUCCCGUUACUCAGGGAUAGCCUUCCGAAAGGGAGAUUAAUACCUGAUGGUGUUUGAAAUUCGCAUGUUCUUCAAACUAAAGAUUUAUCGGUAACGGAUAGGGAUGCGUGACAUUAGGUAGUUGGUGGGUAACGGCCUACCAAGCCGACGAUCAGUAGCCGACCUGAGAGGGUGACCGGCCACAUUGGGACUGAGACACGGCCCAA
rnacentral:rRNA from 1 species